AUUAAUUAAGGUCCGAAUCGCAAGAGCGGGGGAUUAACAAGCAACUAUUUGGGGUGAAUCGCGGACUCUACCGCGUAGGGCUUCCUUCGUCCGAACCCGUCAACUAACCUCGUAGGACAUAGAAGGGAACGA
rnacentral:sRNA from 2 species